rnacentral:rRNA from 1 species
AUCAGCAGCCAUAUCACCCUGCUACUCACAACUGGCAGCCCACUCAAGCUAAGCAGGCGUGAGCCUGGUCAGUAUCUGGAUGGGAGACCUCCUGGGAAAAACUAAGGUUGCUGCUGGAA